rnacentral:lncRNA from 1 species
GUAAUUGUGCAUGAGUGAGUUUGAGAUUGUGUAUGCGGCGUGCAUUUGUGUGUGUCUGUUUGCAUACAGCACAUGGUUUGUGUACAGGUCACGGUGUGUGUUGGGAUGUGGGUGGUAGCCUCGAGCUACACAAACCCCAGGAAGUUUUUUUUUCUACUCUAUGGCUUAUCAUAAAUAUUAGUUUAUUGAUUUAAUUUAUGCUGGAACUUGAUCUACGUGCACAGCUUAGAAUAGAAGUGGUCAAAAUUGAACAAAACUGCCUCUUGGGAAUUUGCACUUCUCUACUGCGGAAUUAUGUGGAAGUUGUGCUACUUUGAGGCUGGCUGUGAUGCAGCAGGGGUCUGCACAGAGGCAGAUGCUUAGCAACUACCUGCUGCUUGAUUAUGGGUUAAGUCAGACCCAAGGAUAUCCAGCAAUGGGAGAAAGAGGUUAACCACCAGGCUUUAAACCAUCAUCCGCCCCUGUGAGAGGAGAAGCAGGGUAUCUAACAGCCAACUAGCUGACACCGAGGAAAGUCAAGAGAAGGACCGAAGAAGAGAGGGAGUGUAAGAGAGGGAAAAUGAUGGAUGGAUGAGCAUAUGGAGUAAGUUUGACAGCCUCAGAGAGAGAGAGCGAUGUAAGACCUAUCUGGGAUUCUGUGGCUGUUACUCACAACUUUGUGUCCUCAGAGGAAAU